GAUGAACGCUGGCGGCGUGCCUAAUACAUGCCAGUCGAGCGAACAGACGAGGAGCUUGCUCCUCUGACGUUAGCGGCGGACGGGUGAGUAACACGUGGAUAACCUACCUAUAAGACUGGGAUAACUUCGGGAAACCGGAGCUAAUACCGGAUAAUAUAUUGUACCGCAUGGUUCAAUAGUGAAAGACGGUUUUGCUGUCACUUAUAGAUGGAUCCGCGCCGCAUUAGCUAGUUGGUAAGGUAACGGCUUACCAAGGCGACGAUGCGUAGCCGACCUGAGAGGGUGAUCGGCCACACUGGAACUGAGACACGGUCCAGACUCCUACGGGAGGCAGCAGUAGGGAAUCUUCCGCAAUGGGCGAAAGCCUGACGGAGCAACGCCGCGUGAGUGAUGAAGGUCUUCGGAUCGUAAAACUCUGUUAUUAGGGAAGAACAAAUGUGUAAGUAACUAUGCACGUCUUGACGGUACCUAAUCAGAAAGCCACGGCUAACUACGUG
rnacentral:rRNA from 1 species